rnacentral:rRNA from 1 species
AGCUUGCUAGAUGCUGACGAGCGGCGGACGGGUGAGUAAUGCAUAGGAAUCUGCCCUGUAGUGGGGGAUAACCUGGGGAAACCCAGGCUAAUACCGCAUACGUCCUACGGGAGAAAGGGGGCUUUGGCUCCCGCUACGGGAUGAGCCUAUGUCGGAUUAGCUAGUUGGUGAGGUAACGGCUCACCAAGGCGACGAUCCGUAGCUGGUCUGAGAGGAUGAUCAGCCACAUCGGGACUGAGACACGGCCCGAACUCCUACGGGAGGCAGCAGUGGGGAAUAUUGGACAAUGGGGGGAACCCUGAUCCAGCCAUGCCGCGUGUGUGAAGAAGGCCUUCGGGUUGUAAAGCACUUUCAGCGAGGAAGAACGCCUAGUGGUUAAUACCCAUUAGGAAAGACAUCACUCGCAGAAGAAGCACCGGCUAACUCCGUGCCAGCAGCCGCGGUAAUACGGAGGGUGCAAGCGUUAAUCGGAAUUACUGGGCGUAAAGCGCGCGUAGGUGGCUUGAUAAGCCGGUUGUGAAAGCCCCGGGCUCAACCUGGGAACGGCAUCCGGAACUGUCAGGCUAGAGUGCAGGAGAGGAAGGUAGAAUUCCCGGUGUAGCGGUGAAAUGCGUAGAGAUCGGGAGGAAUACCAGUGGCGAAGG